rnacentral:rRNA from 1 species
AUUAAACGCUGGCGGCAGGCCUAACACAUGCAAGUCGAGCGGAUGAGGGGAGCUUGCUCCUGGAUUCAGCGGCGGACGGGUGAGUAAUGCCUAGGAAUCUGCCUGGUAGUGGGGGAUAACGUCCGGAAACGGGCGCUAAUACCGCAUACGUCCUGAGGGAGAAAGUGGGGGAUCUUCGGACCUCACGCUAUCAGAUGAGCCUAGGUCGGAUUAGCUAGUUGGUGGGGUAAAGGCCUACCAAGGCGACGAUCCGUAACUGGUCUGAGAGGAUGAUCAGUCACACUGGAACUGAGACACGGUCCAGACUCCUACGGGAGGCAGCAGUGGGGAAUAUUGGACAAUGGGCGAAAGCCUGAUCCAGCCAUGCCGCGUGUGUGAAGAAGGUCUUCGGAUUGUAAAGCACUUUAAGUUGGGAGGAAGGGCAGUAAGUUAAUACCUUGCUGUUUUGACGUUACCAACAGAAUAAGCACCGGCUAACUUCGUG